AUCUAGCCAAGUAGAUCCCAGCAUCAUCUACUCAAGCCAGCUUUGCUUACAAAUAAAAAAGGAGGAAAGAAAACCCUCAGAGUUCAGCUUAAAAGGACCUUUCAUGCCUUGCCAGGCCUCUGCCUUCUCCUCACCACGCCUCUGUCGCAAAGUACAAUACAUAUGUUUAUCUUGCUUCAAGCAGGGGUAUAUUAAAAUACUUGAGGAUUUUCCCCUCCUAACACUGGCAUGUUGGCUCCCAGCGGCUGCACAGCCACAUAUCAUGAAUUGCAAAAGCAGCAGCAAAUUACUGCCUUCGCAAACACACAGAUCUUUCCUGAGGUUGCAAGUCGCAUCACUUUAAAGGCUGACUUUCUUCAAACUUCCAGGAACUGAGUGGCUCCGAGCCCAUCUAUUUAAAGGUCAGGCUAGCCUUGCUGUAUUUGGAGGGCUGCCUCGGACACAAGCUUAUUCUCAGGCCUGUUCCACAGUCACCACAGCCAGGCAGGCUAUGAGAAGCAGUGUGUCCCUUCAAAGGAUGCAGAAGGCAUUGCCAGACACAGAGGUCCAUCUGCGGAGGCAUGGUCAACAAAACAUGUGAUGUCCACAUAGGGAACAUUAUUAGCCAUGAAAAAGAGUAAAGGACUGGAAGAUGCUACUUGAAGAACCUUGAAAGAGUCACGAGAACGAAAGAAGCCAGUCACAGCAGAAUGUGUCACAUGAUCCCAUUGAUAAGACAUUUUCAGAAAAGACACAUCCACUGUGACAGGAAGCGGAUCCGUGAUUUCCUAGGACUCAGGAAACUGGGUGGAGCGGGGUGAGGGGAUCAGGAAGAGGAGAUGAGGAGACUAGUAGUGAGUAGUGAGUAUGAAGUUUCUCUUGUGAUGGAUGAAAAUGUUCUAAAAUGGAUUGUGGUAACAACUUCAAGUUCCAUGACUAGAUGAAAAGCAUCCUAUUGUGUGGAUGAAUUGGGGUGUGUACGAGUUACAUCUAAAUAAAACUUCCAUAUUUAAAAA